UAGCAACAUAUCUUUGGGGUGCAAGAUGGGGAGGUCUUAUAGAAAUGUAUACGGGAUACUGGAACACAUGAAUUAACAGAUAUUAGCAGUCACCUGCCUUUAUUUUUUCUAGACCAGAAGACACAUGGAACAGCGCAGAGAUGACCUACCUAAGCUCACACUUCUGGUUGGUGUCCUAAGAUUCAACUGAAUGCAGGGAACGCACUACCAUCAGGUCCCGUGAAGGUAACAUGGGAGACAACCCUACUGCUUAAUGCUACUGCUUUGGGAGAAAUUAAUACCUGGAUCUACUAUAUGGAAAUGUUGUAUCAGAAAUCUAAAAUGUGAGAAGAAUCCUGCAAUCCAACAUUGAGUAAGAACCAGGAGGAUAAAGAUGAAGAUGAAGAUAAAGUGAAAACACUAAACGAUUUUGAAGAGACAGCCACCAGGGCUAAUGGGACAUGAGGAAAACAUCACUCUACAUGAAAGGAGAGACCUUUUAAGUGUUGGUAAGAAAGUUAGCAUGCUGUUGCCUGGGACAAAGUGGAAAUGCACCUGUUGACAUGGGGACAUCUAUCUGAGGAGAUUCCCAGGCAGAGUAUUAAAGAGUCUGGGUUUAGACUUUCUAUAAA
rnacentral:lncRNA from 1 species